UACGUAGGGUGCGAGCGUUAAUCGGAAUUACUGGGCGUAAAGCGUGCGCAGGCGGGCUUUUAAGCCAGACGUGAAAUCCCCGGGCUUAACCUGGGAAUGGCGUUUGGGACUGGGAGUCUGGAGUGCGGCAGAGGAGACUGGAAUUCCUGGUGUAGGCAGUGAAAUGCGUAGAUAUCAGGAGGAACACCGAUGGCGAAGGCAGGUCUCUGGGCUGACACUGACGCUCAUGCACGAAAGCGUGGGGAGCAAACAGGAUUA
rnacentral:rRNA from 1 species